CACGUAGGGCGCAAGCGUUGUCCGGAAUUAUUGGGCGUAAAGAGCUCGUAGGCGGUCUGUUGCGUCCGCUGUGAAAACUCGGGGCUUAACCCCGAGCCUGCAGUGGAUACGGGCAGACUAGAGGUAGGUAGGGGAGAAUGGAAUUCCCGGUGUAGCGGUGAAAUGCGCAGAUAUCAGGAAGAACACCCGUGGCGAAGGCGGCUCUCUGGAACGCAACUGACGCUGAGACGCGAAAGCGUGGGGAGCAAACAGG
rnacentral:rRNA from 1 species